GACGAACGCUGGCGGCGUGCUUAACACAUGCAAGUCGAACGGAAAGGCCCUGCUUUUGUGGGGUGCUCGAGUGGCGAACGGGUGAGUAACACGUGAGUAACCUGCCCUUGACUUUGGGAUAACUUCAGGAAACUGGGGCUAAUACCGGAUAGGAGCUCCUGCUGCAUGGUGGUGGUUGGAAAGUUUCGGCGGUUGGGGAUGGACUCGCGGCUUAUCAGCUUGUUGGUGGGGUAGUGGCUUACCAAGGCUUUGACGGGUAGCCGGCCUGAGAGGGUGACCGGCCACAUUGGGACUGAGAUACGGACCAGAAUGCAACGGGAGGCAGCAGUGGGGAAUAUUGCACAAUGGGCGGAAGCGUGAUGCAGCAACGCCGCGUGCGGGAUGACGGCCUUCGGGUUGUAAACCGAUUUGGACUGUGACGAAGCGUGAGUGACGGUAAUGGGUAAAGAAGCACCGGCUAACUACGUG
rnacentral:rRNA from 1 species